rnacentral:rRNA from 1 species
CCUACGGGAGGCAGCAGUGGGGAAUAUUGGGCAAUGGGCGCAAGCCUGAACCAGCCACGCCGCGUGAAGGAAGAAGGCUUUCGGGGUGUUAAAUUCUUUUUAGCGGGAAGCGCAGAACACGGUACCUCUUGCAUCAGCCACGGCUAAAUACGUGCCAGCAGCCGCGGUAAUACGGAGGGGGCACGCGUUAUCCGGAUUUACUGGGUGUAAAGGGAGCGUAGACGGCAGUGCAAGUCUGGAGUGAAAGGCGGGGGCUCAACCCCCUGACUGCUCUUGAAACUGUACGGCUGGAGUGCAGGAGAGGUAAGUGGAAUUCCUAGUGUAGCGGUGAAAUGCGUAGAUAUGAGGAGGAACCCCAGUGGCGAAGGCAGCUUACUGGACUGUAACUGACGUUGAGGCUCGAAAGCGUGGGGAGCAAACAGGAUUAGAUACCCGUGUAGUC